rnacentral:lncRNA from 1 species
CUUGAUCAGAGGCUUCUUCUCCCUUGAGGAAUAAUGAAUUAGGGUUGAGAGGCUCUCUCCUCCAGGGGCCAGGGGGUCUGGUUUUAUAGUCCCUUCAAGUGAAUAUGGGCCGUUGGAUCAAACCGACAUAGAUUGAACGGUUAUCCUUGAUCCUUUAGGUCGGUGGAGAUCUCCCACGAAACAGAGUCCUGAUUGGACUCAGAGAGGGGGCGGGCGCCCAGGGCAGGAGGGUGGGCGCCCUGCCUGUGGCCCCGUUCAGCCUCCGCUUGCUUCCCGUGGCUUCUAGAGUCUUCUAGAUGUAAGAUAAUUGCGCGGCACGUUAAUAUCUCUAUAUAAUCCCGACGUGUGGGCCUUUCUUCCGUAUUUCCUAAUAACCCCCUGCAGAAAUAGACAAACACCAAAACUCAUGGAAUUCAAUCAGAUAAAACCCUAAGUCUAGAUGUUGAUUUCAUUUGGAUCCUUUUCUUUGUUUAUUUAAUAAUUAAAUUUGAUACUUAAGGACCGUCAACAAACUCCCCCAAGCUUACCUCUUGCUCGUCCCUGAGCAAGGAUAGACUCAGUGAUGGAUUAGAAGUUGUUGCAAUAUCUUAAAAAUUUAACGGUACACAUGCUUUUAAAUAAGAUCUCAUCUCUGAGUUAGAGUAAACUGUAAAGAUUUAAAACUUACUUACUUUACCUUUCUCCAUGGGACUUGUAACCGUCACUUCUGCCUUGAGUGGUUAAAAGAUAGAACAGUCUAGCUAAGUGCCAUGUCUCUUAUUCUUGAUCAGCUAUAACUCUGAAGUUUUUGCAGAUUUUCAAAUAAAACUCAGAGAUUCCUUGUAUGAUUCUCUCAUAUCUCUCUUUUGUGGUAUUUCUGGACCCUUACCAAGGCAGUGAUAGUAUAUGCCUUCUCUCAAGAACUAUGUAGUAUUUGUGGUAUAAAGCAUAGUGACAUUGUCUUCUCUCUCACCCUACUCUAAUAAGGCUUUUAAUAUCUAGAGCUCAUAGGUGGGAGAUAAAAUAUACAUACUUACAAGACAUGUAUUGUAUAGUCAAACCAUGGAUCCAAAGAAAUGAAUCAAUAAGUCAAAUCAAGAUGUGCAUGUGUGGCGAAUGAAUGGUGUAUGGUGAUAACAAUGGUGGAAGUCUAAUUCUACUUUUUGCUCUUUGAGGGGAUAUAUAUCUUUCUUGCUUUUUGAAACUUUAUAAGGAGAAUGAGAUGCUCUUCUUUUCUUUUUUUUUUCUUUUCUCUCAAGUGGGUAUCUUGUACCCCUAAUUCUACUGUCGGACACUUGUCCAUUUUUACCUCUCGUCUCACUCUUUCUUUUCGUUCGAGGUUCCGGGCACUUGCCCCUUUUUAUUUCCUCGUAUCUCUCUUAUUUUUAGAGCACUCAUCUCUUGAGAUAAUAUAGCAAGUGGUAGUAACAAGGAUAACUUGAGCAUUUAUUUCAUAAGGAAAAACAUAAAUGUUUUUGGUUAUUCUCUCCCCGGAUUAGGAGUAGAAUAUUUUUGGAUGAUUCUGGAGAUGGAAAUGGGUGGAUAUAUGUGGAUGGUACUUCCGAAGUAGAAGUAGCAUAUAUGAGUGAACGUGCAAGUGAAAUCUUGAUUUAACCACAUGACAAGCUCCUAAGGGUCUACACAGCUUGACCACACUCAAUGCUCAUAAGCAGUAAAUAGUAAAUGUGUGGCUCAAAGUCUAGCAAGCAUGUAUAUAUGGCUGUGGUAGUAAUUUAAACUCUCAUCAUACAGGAACUCAUCAUGCAAUAUUUUAAAGAUUUUCAAAGAUAAAAUUCUCCAGAAUUCUAGCAUCUCUAGGAACAGAUAAACAGCAGCUCAACCUUCCCAUAUCGUAACCGUUAACAACUUAGACUUCAGAUCAAGUUUUCAUCCCACAAGUUUAGGUCUAGAGCAAGCUUUAAAUUAUAACAAUUAUAUCUAAACUUGAGAGAGAACUUCAAAUUUUAAAAAUUAGGCAGAGCAACUAUUCAUCAUAUCCAUGCUUGAGUUUUAUUUAGAUACAGAUUAGCAUAGCCACUUUAUUUAUUUAUUUAUUAAACACACUAAGCAAAAGAUAUAUAUAUAAGCACAAAAUCUUUAUUUGGUUUUCAUAGUUAUAUUUAUUUAUAGUUUAAUAUAGUAUAAGUAUAAAGAUAGAUAGAAAUACUUAUCGAGAUAAAUGGGGGUGCUCUCCCCCAAGCUGAAUUUUGACGUAAUUUCUCUUGAUGUAGCUAGCAGGUGGCAGAGGUGUAUUUGAAUGUCAGCAGCAUUCUGACAGCGAUUAGAAUGUCCUCCGUCUCCUAGUCUUCUUAAAUUCUGUGGAGCUCAAAUAGACAACAAAGCUUGUGGAAUUGAUUAAGUGUUAGCAUAAAUAUCUAACCUUUAUCAUGUUGAGACUCCUUAAUAAUUAUUGCUCCCAAUUUUUUUAUAUUUUCAUUUUAUAAAGAAGAAAAAUAUUUAUUUUAUUUUUAUGCCACCACAGUGAAUGUACUUAUGGGUUUUAUGCCACUCGUCUACUCACAUGGGGCUUACUGUUUUUAACAUUUUUAUUUUCUUUUUAGAAUAGUAUGAACUUGAUUUACUAAGUAAACUAGUUUAAAUAAUUGAAAAGAGAAAAGAUAACUACCAAGUUUACCUCUUGGCAAGGCGUUCGGUGUUUUUAAGUCCUCCGAACGGGACUCUCCUCUUUCUCAAUUGUCGUGGGAUUCGUUGGGUGGCGGAGUCGGUACUUCCGACGGCGCCUCCUCUUCAUGUAUAGUUAUCUUCUCUCUCCAUAUCUGACUCGGUGCAACGGUCUCCUCUAGAAAAUUCUGUUUAAACUGUACAUCUUCUGACCUUACAACUUCUCCUUCAUAGUCUGCCCAUCCGUCCUUGAUGAUUUGCCUCCUCUAGUUGCGGUUGCGUCGUUUUCUUACCUGCUUAGAUUCUUCAACGAUAUAGUUAGGGUCAGUAAAAUAGCGGCGUACCUUCUCUGAGGAGAAGUGCAUAUGGACUUCUCCGGUUCCAGUGUAGAUAAUUGCUUUAACGGUGCUGAGGAAUGGUCUUCCAAGGAUGAUGGGUGGAUCGUACCCAUCUUCUCCCAUGUCAAUAACUUGAAAGUCUGUGUAGAUAAAAUGAUCGUCUAUUUUGACUGGGACAUCAAUUACUGUUCCUUUAACUUCUCGAAAUGUCUGAUCUGCCAUCUGGAGCUGAAUGUAUGUUGGUCUUAGGGGCAUGGUUCCGAACAAGAGCCGAUAGGUGACUGCGGCCAUUAUGUUGACGCCCGAUCUGGUGUCGCAAAACGUCUUGUAGAAGCUGUAUCCAUUUAUUGAGCAAUAGAUGCUUGGCAUUCCUGGGUCGUCCUUCUUGGUAAAAAAUGGUGACUUGAAUUGAUGAUCUUGACCUCCAUGAACUGCAGUGACCAUCUUAGCUGACUCGGUCCACACUUGCUUGUUUCUGUUCCUCCUGUUGGUCCUCUUCCUUGAUUCACGUCUGGAUUGAUCUGGGAUUUGUGUAGUCUUGUUCUUCAAGAAAAAUGUCUCCUUCCUCCCUUUGAUGUAGAAACUGAUCUUGGCAGCAUUGGCGUAGAUGAUAGCUCCCAAGGUGUUCAAGAAUGGCCUCCCUAAGAUGAUGGGUGCCCUCUCAUCAUUACCGGUCUCUACCACUACGAAGUCUGCUGGGGCAUAUAAGGUACCAACUCGGACACAAAGGUUCUUCAAUAUUCCUUUUGGAAAACUUAUCGUCUGAUCAGCAAACUGCAAACAUAUGGUUGUUUCUAAUAAAGGAUAUGUAAAGAAUUUUUCAUAGAGUACCCUGGGUAUAAUGUUGACGCUAGAGCCAAAGUCACAGAGUGCUUCUGGGAAGUCCACCAUGCCGAUGGAGAUCGGGAUGACGGGGCGUCCUGGAUCACCUCUCUUGACCGGCAGAAGGUCAGUAGUUACUUCAGUGACGGGGUUACUCCAAUUACUUGCAUCAAACAUGUCUACAAGAUUUGUAGAUUCUAAUCCGUCCAGUUGUGAUGGUAUACCGGGGUUAGUAGCAGGAACAGCAGCAGCAAUUUGAUUUAGCUGAGAUUCAAUCAUUUUAUUAAAGCUAAUUUGAUUCUUGAUGGCAGUAGAGAAAUUAUCCAUUCUAUUAUUUAUAUUUUCUAGCAUUUUAUCAUUAGAUGCCAAUUUCUUAGAUAGGUUAUCCAUUAGCUUUCCUUGAUUAGACACUAACUCUCUCAGAGGUGGAAAAUUAUUAUUGUUGUUGUAAGAAUUAUUACCUUUAUAAUUACCUGAGUAGUUAGGCCUCUGUUGAUUCCAACCUUGAAUUUGUUGAGGACGGUUGUAGUAGUUGUUGUUGUUGUUGUUGAUGUAGUUCACAUCCUCAAGCAUCUCAGGGCAGUGAUUGCCUGAGUGUCCAGUAUCUCCACACUCCUCACAAGUCAUGUGAGAGUCGUAGAUGUGCAUAACUUCUUUCUUAUCUCCAGCUCUAUCAUCGAGCUUCUUCAUGAGCAGGUCUAGCUUUGCAGACAACAUGUCUACCUCCUUGAGCUGAUGCAUACCUCCACCUCUCUUGUGUGUCUGGGUCCUCUCUUCAUUCCAACCUUGAUUGGAUGCCAUCUUCUCCACAAGAGUUGUGGCUUGUGGUAUGGUAAGUGAUAAGAAUGCUCCUCCGCUGCAGCAUCCAUGGUCUCUCGGGCACUGUUGCCGAGCCCAUGAUAAAAUGUCUGCAUUAGUAGCCAACUCUCCAUUCCAUGAUAGGGACAUUCUAGGAUGUAGUCUUGAAAGCGCUCCCAUGCUUCUGGAACAGAUUCAUCAUUUUGUUGUUGAAAACUUGUAAUCUUCCCACGGAGAGCAUUGGCCUUUCCCAUGGGAAAGAACUUAGCCAGGAAGUUUGUUGAGCAGAGUGCCCACGUAGUAUUCUUCUCCUUUGUAGCAUAGAACCACUGCUUCGCUCUCCCUAACAGUGAGAAUGGGAAGAGGCGAAGUAGUAUAGCAUCUUUAGAAACUCCUGAUAUGGUAAAUGUGUUGCAAAUCUCCAGAAAGUGUUGGAGAUGAGCACUAGUAUCUUCGUGUGCCUUCUCACAGAACUGGUUGGAUUGCACCAUGUUGAUAAGUCCAGGCUUGAGCUCAAAGUUGCCAUCGAUCUCUGCAGCAGGUCCAGUGCGGAUGUUGUCCGUAGUGGGAGCUGAGAACUCACGGAUCGAUUUGUUCGCCAUGGCUUCGAACUCUGAAGACAAGUUUCGGUGAUCUUCUUGAUUGGAUGAAGCUUCUUGCUGAAGUGUUAAUGAGCUUGGCUCUAGUUUUUCUGAAUAAUGCUUCGGGAUUGUCAACAAAAUUUCCUUGAAGAUGUCUUCUAUUCAUACAUUCCUCUGCAUUAGAUAAAAAUAGAAAAUAUCGAGGUAAAACUGUAUGAGAGAAUAGAUAAGCUCAAUCAUAUUAGUGAUGCGAAUGAUAACUCAAAAUCCUUUAUUCCAUUCUUGAUUAGUAAUCAACCUUCCCCAGCAACGGCACCAAAAAUGCUUGUUGGGUAUUCUUAACAACAUUACCAAAAGUAGACUUAAUUUUCUAAUUCUAGUAACGGUGCCAAAAAUGCCAAACCUAUCCCUCAUACCACUUAAGCCAAGUUGUCAUCCCCAGCAUGACAUGAGAGACGCGGUAUUGAAAUAUGCAAUUGCUCUUCUAAAUAAAUAAUGAAUGGGAUCUGCAAGCGCACAGAUUAAUAUCGAUGUAGCAUUUUAACCGGGAAGUAUUCCAGGUAUCGUUAUUUAUAUUUUUACCACUGAGAAGGGAUUAACAAUCAUCAAUAUUGAUUACAGAAUAGAAUAUGAGAUUAAGUAUCUAUCAUAGCAUGUAUAAUUGAGAACAUUUAUCUAACUCUUUCAUACAGGGGUAAGUGUCACAUAAAGGAUAUAUAAAGUAAUGAAUAGUGACAAGGAUAAUUAAUCUAAUCAGCCACAUAUAAAUAUGAUAAGCACCUCAAUUAGAUACUCUAGAAAGUCAUUAGCAUGGAAUUAGAACAAACUACAAGAAUAUUUCCUAAGUUAUUCUCAACUAUAGUCUAGCAUUAUCAUAGUUAGUGCAAGCAUACUUAGCAAUCAUUGCGAGACAAGACUACGCCCAAGCAUAGUGAUAUUAGCAAGGUAAAUGAGAAACAUAGCAAUCACUCCCCUGUAAUAAUGUUGCUCUGCCAGCCCAAUGCACGAGAGGGGGACUAUAUAAGAAUCAAUGAAGCUGUCACUAUCACGAACUACCCCACGAUCUGGCAUAUUGGGUACAAUCGCAGAUAAAUACGGUAUAAGCACCACGCCCACACAAUAUCUAUCAUUUACCCAUGGAUCCGAUGGAUAAACGCUAUAUGAUCCUAAGCAUGUAUAUAGAUCCAAUCUAACUAAGCCAAGUACAUAACUAUGAUAAACUAAGAACAAUAUAAUCUUGAAUAUAAGCAAGUAGAGCAAAGUCAUGAGCAAUAUAUUGAAGUAGAACAAAGUCAUAUUCAUAAUAUUGAAGAACAAAGAUAAUUAAAAAGCAAUUAGAAGCACAAUUAGAGAAUUACCAAGAAUCCUCUUGACAGAUCCGGAAACCAAUCGAAGAUUGACUCCUUCUAGUUCUAAUCCUAUGUAGCUAUGCUAAACUAGAUGUCUAAUUGAUGUGGUGGCUCUAAUCUUGAUUAGAGGCUUCUUCUCCCUUGAGGAAUAAUGAAUUAGGGUUGAGAGGCUCUCUCCUCCAGGGGCCAGGGGGUCUGGUUUUAUAGUCCCUUCAAGUGAAGAUGGGUCGUUGGAUCAAACCGACAUAGAUUGAACGGUUAUCCUUGAUCCUUUAGGUCGGUGGAGAUCUCCCACGAAACAGAGUCCUGAUUGGACUCAGAGAGGGGGCGGGCGCCCAGGGCAGGAGGGCGGGCGCCCUGCCUCUGGCCCCGUUCG